rnacentral:tRNA from 1 species
GUUCUUAUAGUUGAAAUACAACGGUGGUUUUUCAUNUCAUUNGUCAUGG